CCCUGUGUCGCAGGUGUUGUUGGGUACAAGAUGCCCCGAUAUUGCCUAUUUGGUGAUACAGUAAACACAGCAUCAAGGAUGGAAUCCACCAGCUUACCACAGAAGAUACACAUCAGCUCAGCUACCUACCAGGUGCUGCUGAUAGAUGACGCUUAUGAGAUUGAACCAAGAGGAGAAAUUGAAGUCAAAGGUAAAGGGAAAAUGAAAACAUAUUGGCUUAUUGG